CAUAUCACAUUGACACAUCAGUUCUCAUAUGAAAGUUAAGCAAUGUCAAGCCUGAUCAGUACCUAGAUGAGUGACCGCUUGGGAAUACCAGGUGCUGUAAG